CCCUCAUCCGAAGAUCCAAAUCUGUGACAGAAGAUUCGAGAAUCAAUCAAUAAGAGAAUCAUGUUUACUGAGCGCGUACUACGUGCAGAGCACUACACUAAGCACUUGGGAAAGUACAAUCCAAGCGAAUAGCCUGCUGAUAAUGAGCAUACAGUGUCCCACGGAGGGCUAGUUGGUCCCAAGCUUAAUUCUCUUCCAAAAAGUAUUGGAGUUAUACCGUUCUCAGAUCAACACAGCCAAUACUCACUCCUCCCUCCAGCGGCUAACGAACACCAGUUGGCUCUUCCUUUCCCGACAGCCCCGUACAAAUCCCUUUCUUGGCUCGCCCAAGUCCUCUGAAAUGGGACCUUCUGCUCACAUGCCUUGGCAAGAGGAAGUCUCCUCCUCCACCUUAGAAUGGAAAAGCCCAUGUCUUCAACGGAGAGAUCUCCUGAAACCUUUUCCUCGAGGGUCCUGGGCUGUUUCGGCACGUAAGGAGUUUUGCAGGCUUCCACGCCACAAUGUCUCAGGGGAGAAAAUGGAGUCUUCAACGUGAGAACCAAAGAAGAUAAUUGGAGAGAGACAUCUGAGCCUCAAAUAUUCCUUCGGUGUGGAUAGUAGCAUCGCAGAUAUCUUCCAGACUGCAUGAGAAAAGCGAUCGGUCACUAGAGUUGGAUUGAAAGACUGAUUCAUGCCUGUGGCUUUCAGAGAUGACUUGCCAUAAUGACCUCGAGUCACCUCUUCUGAUUUCCCAUUUGACAUCCACCAAGUCAUUCCACCUCUCCAGACUUGAAUUUCUUCUCCCUUGAGACAGGGACAAUAAUGCCCUCAUCUCAUAGCAUCCAGUGAGCUCCUCCUUGGACUGUCUCUCCCUCC